rnacentral:pre_miRNA from 1 species
GAGACCACCUUCUGGGGCAAGACUUGCUUCAGUGGGGCUUUGGUGCUCACUGAGUCUUCCCCCUGAGUUGGAUCU